rnacentral:tRNA from 1 species
GCUGCGUUGGUCCAAUGGUCAAGAUUUCAGUUUGUGAUUUCAGCAACAUCACUAAAAAUCGAGGUUCGAUUCCUCGGCAUGGCA